rnacentral:rRNA from 1 species
CCUACGGGAGGCAGCAGUGAGGAAUCUUCCACAAUGGGCGAAAGCCUGAUGGAGCGACACCGCGUGAAGGAUGAAGUCCUUUCCGGACGUAAACUUCUGUUCUGAGGGAAGAAAUUUUUGACGGUACCUCAGGAGAAAGCACCGGCUAAUUCUGUGCCAGCAGCCGCGGUAAGACAGAAGGUGCAAGCGUUACUCGGAAUUACUGGGCGUAAAGCGUCCGCAGCCGAUCUCUUAAGUCUGGUGUCAAAAUGCGGAGCUCAACUCCGUACCGUGCCGGAAACUGUGAGAAUUGAGUCAUACAGAGGCAACUGGAAUUACGUGUGUAGGGGUAAAAUCCGUUGAUCCACGUAGGAACGCCAAAAGCGAAAGCAGGUUGCUGGGUAUGUACUGACGGUCAGGGACGAAAGCGUGGGGAGCGAACGGGAUUAGAUACCCUGGUA